GUAUCUGUUCUUAUCAGUUUAAUAUCUGAUACGUCCUCUAUAUGAGGACUACAUAUUAAACAGAUUUUUAGAACAGGGAGACGGAAGAGGGGCUUGCUCCAUCCGCUCCGUGCAUUGACCAGGGGUAGUCAUGGGCUGGAGG
rnacentral:snRNA from 1 species